GAGACCAGUCUUAACUUCUGAGAUGACCCAAAUAUUUGGAGCCAAGUUUGUUGAUUAAGUAAGUUUUCAUCCUCGACAUUCUUUUGCCCACCUUAUGAGACCAAUGAGUCUACUGAAGAUCCUCCAAGUGCCGAGGAAAUAAAGACAUUGGAGGAUGCCCUUAAUAUUUUCAGAAAUGUUACCACUGUAAAGAGCACUUCCAAAAUCUCCUUUUCACAUAUUCUCUGUGAAGUUAUGCAACACAAAGGCUUCAAAGCAAUCUCCCAAGUUUCCCAGAAAAUAAAUACAUCUGAUUUGAAAAAUCUU
rnacentral:lncRNA from 10 species